rnacentral:lncRNA from 1 species
GCAGAGCUGAGGUUCUUCUGUGUCCUCUUUCCUUCCAGCGACUGCUUCUGCCUAACUUCUCUUCAGGGAGGUUUCCACAGAUUACAGAAGUACCUUUUUAGUACCCAGGGCACAUUCCAUCCUGUCUCGAAGUCCCUUUCUUCAGCUUCUUCUAGAACUUCUGGUGAACAAGGGUGCUAAGAGCAAAGCACUUCUAAGAUUCAACCACUCAAACUCUGAAACAAAUGUUGGAGGGCUACUCCAUCCGCAUGGCCGCAACCCAACAUGGCAUUUACCUCAAAAGACCCAGUGACUGCUCCCAAAAGCAGUGUGGACGGAUUGUGGGAAGACACAGCAUGAUGGAGCUCCUGAACUUCUGUCUUCUUGGAACACCUGAGACAAGAGAAUGAUGAAUGGCAGCCUGGAGAUCAGCCUGGAGCCACACCUUGCCCUUUGAGUAGCCUCUCCCAUGACAAUCAACACUUUUCUAGAGCCUGGUAAGGUGUGAGAGUUUAGAAUGUCCAUAGGUUAGCUAUGGUAGAGACCUGGAAGACAGGCG